GAGGAAGAAGAGUUGCAUUAAUUUCCUGGGAGGAAUUUGCAUGUGUAACUUCUCUAGAGCUAGUGUAAUUAGCGAAGAGAGAGUUAAAGUGCACCUCUGGAUCCCACGUCUAGAGGGACACGAGGAAAUUAAAACACAUUCAGAAGACAUUGACCAGAUGAUGUAGCAAGUCAAAGCAAUACCAGGCUAUACUGCUUAGCGUUCUUUCAACUAGUUAGAAGACACAGCAGAUGCAAGGAUUCUCAAAGUGUCUGUGACAGAAUGGAUGGAACCUUUGGCAAGCACCAUUCCCACAACUGGCGAGUAGGAUCCUAAGAGCCAGAACAUAUAAGUCUGGGAACCAGACUUGGAUGUGAGAGUGAUGACUUGACUGGCCCUGAGCUAACAUCCGCGCCCAUCUUCCUCUACUUUUUAUAUGUGGGAUGUCUACCACAGCAUAGCUUGCCAAGCAGUGCCAUGUCUGCACCCAGGAUUCGAACUGGCGAACCCCAGGCUGCUGAAGCAGAACAUGUGCACGUGACCUCUGUGCCACCAGGCCGGCCCCUGAUAUGCUUUUAAACAUUACAUGAUCUCCAUUUGUUGUUUGAAUCAUUGUAAACCUGUGUCCGUGUAUUUCUUAUCCAUACAUAUUUAUUUAUUUAUUUAUUUUUUUAAAGAUUUUUUUUUUAUUUUUUCCUUUU
rnacentral:lncRNA from 1 species